rnacentral:rRNA from 1 species
GUGGGGAAUAUUGGACAAUGGGCGCAAGCCUGAUCCAGCCAUACCGCGUGGGUGAAGAAGGCCUUCGGGUUGUAAAGCCCUUUUGUUGGGAAAGAAAUCCUGUCGGCUAAUACCUGGCGGGGAUGACGGUACCCAAAGAAUAAGCACCGGCUAACUUCGUGCCAGCAGCCGCGGUAAUACGAAGGGUGCAAGCGUUACUCGGAAUUACUGGGCGUAAAGCGUGCGUAGGUGGUGGUUUAAGUCCGUUGUGAAAGCCCUGGGCUCAACCUGGGAAUUGCAGUGGAUACUGGAUCACUAGAGUGUGGUAGAGGGAUGCGGAAUUUCUGGUGUAGCAGUGAAAUGCGUAGAGAUCAGAAGGAACAUCCGUGGCGAAGGCGGCAUCCUGGGCCAACACUGACACUGAGGCACGAAAGCGUGGGGAGCAAACAGGAUUAGAAACCCGUGUAGUCC